UACACAUGUUUCUGUUCUAAGAGAGUCGUCCAAAAACUAGUAUUGGGCAUUUCAUUUGUCAAACCUUACGUUUUUAGUAUUCCUUAUA